UACGAAAGAGCCGCACAAAAUAUUUCCAAAAAAAUUCAUUCCCCCUUCUCUCUCCUUCCUCUCCUCUGGUUCAACCUAACUUCAUUUUCCCGGCUCUCUCUCUCUUCCCCUCUCUGGUUUCUCUCCUUCACCUCUCUGGUUCUUCUCUGGGCGCGAAAUUCAAACUUCCUGCACACACCGCACUGUUGUUCCCCCACCGCCGCAUCGCCGCAUAUGUUCCCUCGCCGCUCACCGCUGUUGUUCCCCCACUGUUGCGUCCCUGCUGUUCCACACCGCCGCGUCGCUCCUCCUUGUAUCUUAUAGGAGCUCAGGAACAAUAUUGCUUCCACUAUGAAACCUAAUGAUUCUCUUCUUAUAUUCGGUUCCAGUAAUGCUGAGGUAGUGCAUGUUAAGAUAAUCAAGCUAGCGCUACGACUUGCGUACAUCAAUCUCAAUGGCUUCAGUCUACUAUCUCAGAGCUUUGCUUUUACAGAGGAAAUCCACGCUUUGCACAGGCUAUCAGUUCCGUGUUCGGGUUGCUUUAUUCUGGCAAUCUGCCUUGUUCCUGGGUCAAGGUUCAAUGUGGUUUAUCACUACCAGCCCUGAACACGAGUAUAGUUCUGAACUCUGUCUAUAUAUACUAUACGAUGCAAUAUUAAUUAUUUUUAAGAUGAAGUUGUUUCAAUCAGAGUUGAUUUUUAUGAUGUAAAAUAUGAUAUAGACAGUAAUACCUUGUACAGAAUUUAAAUAGUGGUCUACUGCCUGAGAAUAUAAAAUAAGGGAGGAGUAACUGUUUAUCUACGAGACUACGGGUAUUAUAACAAUCUAUAGAAGGUAGUCUGUCUUAGAACCCCAAGGAUAACUUUUGGUUUGUGGGAAUUGUUUUACAUUUAUCCUUGUCUGUUUGCAAUUGCGCGUAGGCAUUAGAGCCCCAAGGAUAACUAUUGGUUUUUGGGUAUAGUUGAUUAUGACUGGUUGCAAUAGGUAUUAGGUACUUGAAUUGAGUCAUGAUUUUCUCCCAUAUUUCUCCUCCGAAGCUUUGAUUGUAACAUAUAGAAAACAUUAUAUAUGACUUCUAUAUCAUAUUAUUGAACAGUAAAAACUGGUGGAAAGUUUUGAGUUAACUUUCAGAUAAUAUUGUGUAAAGACUAAAUAUAUAACUUGAAUUCUAGAUUUAGAAGAGCUUGAUUAGCCAGUUGAUGCUUGGAAGUACUCACUGAUUGAUUCAUCUUUAAAUUAUUCAAUAACUAGAUUUGAUUAAGAAAGGGAAUUAUCAUAUCAGAGUUUGCUAGAGUUUUUGUCUACUUUAAUUUGAUAUUUGCUGUUAGGCUCAAUUUAUUAUUGGCAUUCUUCUUUCCUUUGCUUGUGUACUUAACUAAUACAUGUACUACUUGUAUUUGAAAUGAAAAUUAUCAAUGGUUCAAGUCAGUGUGACAAAUUUUGAAUACAGGUCAACACGAGGUCUUUUUUCUUAGCUACAUGCAUGUAAAUUAUGCCCUUGGACACCUAUUUUACUUCCCAAUAUAAUGAUUUUAUAUUCAGGUUCUCUCCGUUUUACUUCUUUCCCCCCUCUAGACAAUCUGGAUCUUUCUUCCCUUAUGCUGGUUUGCCUCUUUAAUUCCAUGUGUGUUGCUAGAAAGUAAGUGGCUCUACUGUGUUGGAAAGUCAGAGGCUUGAACUUGUUGUUUGGUCUGUAUUAGACAGCUUGUUGCUUGACAUAAAUAUGAUUGCACUAUACAUGCAUUAGUAAGCUGCUAUCUUCUGUUUGUUUCUUUUUCGUGCUGCAUUAUAGCUAAAGUACGUUAAUUAAUAUAAAUCUGUUUGCAGACUGAGACUCCACCAUAAGAAUCCUCCAGCUUUUUCAGGGAGUCCAGGGAUAUUACAACAUUAAUGCAGAAAAAACUCGUGAAGAGAACUGGACUUGAAGGGUAUCCAGUUGCUUUAUAGCCAAGUACAUUUUUUUAUGAUGUAAGUUAAGCCUACCCAAAAUUUCUAUAAUUAAAUUGAUAUUUUCUUUCAUAUUCUACUGCCAAAGAACAAUACAAUCUGCCAAUGAUUAGGUGGUUGCAGCCCCAUUUUUCUUUGAUCUCCUUUCUGAGUAUAACGUACAUAAAUUGUACCUUGAAUAUUAUGUUUAUAAAAGUACUUGACUAGUACAAGUUUUACUUA